AGUGAACGCUGGCGGUAGGCCUAACACAUGCAAGUCGAACGGCAGCACAGUAAGAGCUUGCUCUUACGGGUGGCGAGUGGCGGACGGGUGAGGAAUACAUCGGAAUCUACUUUUUCGUGGGGGAUAACGUAGGGAAACUUACGCUAAUACCGCAUACGACCUACGGGUGAAAGCAGGGGAUCUUCGGACCUUGCGCGAUUGAAUGAGCCGAUGUCGGAUUAGCUAGUUGGCGGGGUAAAGGCCCACCAAGGCGACGAUCCGUAGCUGGUCUGAGAGGAUGAUCCGCCACACUGGAACUGAGACACGGUCCAGACUCCUACGGGAGGCAGCAGUGGGGAAUAUUGGACAAUGGGCGCAAGCCUGAUCCAGCCAUACCGCGUGGGUGAAGAAGGCCUUCGGGUUGUAAAGCCCUUUUGUUGGGAAAGAAAAGCAGCAGGUUAAUACCCCGCUGUUCUGACGGUACCCAAAGAAUAAGCACCGGCUAACUUCGUA
rnacentral:rRNA from 1 species